UUUUUUUUUUCGUUUUUUUGGCAUUUUCAGCCAUUGUUAGCAGAAUGAACAAAACUACACUGAUGUUAGUGAACUAGCAAUGUAUUUACAGUUAAUAGAAUUUUUCUUUUUUUUUUUUCUUUUGAAGGAGUACCUGACUAAUUGAUCUAGAUCCUUUAGAAAAGCUUGCUAUGUAUGAUGUAACAGUUCAAGGGUGGGUGCCUACUCUACAAUGCCAGCAAGCCCAUGUUGAGUAAGCAUCUAAGCUAGAAGGAAAAGAAGCUACAAGUUACAUUAGAAGUAGUCAUCAAAUGCCCCCUCUUUAUCACCAUGCCACUCCUCCGAACCUGCAUAAUGCAACCCCAAAGAGAAAGAUACAAGACAUGAUCAUGAUCAGCAAUCUGUUCAAUAGAAACAAGCAAAACUUUGAACUGUAACUGUCUUCAUCAAUGGAGCAAGUGAAAUUGUUGCAAUAUAGGGAAUGACUUUCUGAAUCAUAUUAUCUUUUUCCCAAAUGAAGAAUAAAUGACAAGGAACUUUCUAGCAUUUGCUUUGCAGCAGAAGAUUCUCAACUGCAAUUACAGUUUACAACUUUACAUCAAGAACGAAGACUAACCUGAAAUUUCUGUUGUUGAAAGAUCCUGUACUAUCAACUGGAAAUUGUUAUUUUGAGAAGACAAGUCAUCUGAGGCAGAAGAUAAAACUGGAGCUGGAAAUGAGAAAUCAGAGUCAUUGGAUGAGGCAUCCGAAUUAUCAGAAGCAAAAUCAACCCGGACAUCUGUGGCAAUGGUUCCAGAAGUUGAAGUCGAGUUUGAUGAAGUGUGCAAGAUCAUUUUCAGGUCUGCAAAUUGGUCUGACAUGGAACAUAACAUCCUGAGCCACACUAGAUCAAGUCUAGCAUUAGUUAAACAACAUAUUAAUUUUACAAACUUUCAUGAUUCAUGUAGAUAUACUAUUGCAGCUAACUAAACAAACCAUGGAUGAUGGAUAGUAAAUAUGAAUGUACAAUGCAAGCAUUGCCAAGGAUGAAGCAUGUUGAACUCUAUAUCUGACAUCCAUAAUAAAACUUGAAAACUUUGGAAUCCUAUGGUUACAAUGUCCCUAAAGUUUUCCACACUAUUACUACCUGUUCAAAGAAUCUUGAAGUCGAUGAACUCGUCUUUCAGUUUCUUUUAAUUUCUUACGUCUUUUUUCACUUAAUCCCUGGGCUUCAGCAUAUUUCCUUUCAGAAUUUUCAGCUCUUUGUUUUUCUGCCCGUAAUAAUGCCUUCAAGUUCCCCACUUCUUCACUGCAAGUCCCCUUCUUGGCAUCAUCGUCAUGAGUAGAGGCUUCUGUGACGAUAAGAUGUGCUCCACUUUCUUUAUGUGCAUCCUCACGUUCCUUGAGAAGCACAGCAUUUGUUUCAUCAACUUGGUUUUGUAAAUUUUUCAGGGAAUGCAGCAAAGUUUUUAUCUCUCGCCCUUUUUCUACUUCCAAUUCAAUCCUCAAUUGUUUUUCUGAUUGCAAAUGGCAUGUGAGUUCCUCCACUUGUUUUUGAAGUUUAUAAUUUUUUACCUCGAGUGAAUCUAUUUCUCCUUCUUCCAUAUUUAAGUUAAUAUCCUCUCCCUCAGCAAUUCUUUCCUUCAAUUUAGAUUGUGAAACAACUGAUGCUUCCUUCAGAUUCUUAUAGCAUGAAACAGCUCUAUGGGAGCGCCAAUGAGCCUGGACGGCAGUUGCUGCCUUAGUUUGCUCUCUUAAUCUGAAUUCACCACGUGCAGCCAUUGCCCGUAUGCCUGUUUGCAAGACAACUGCAGAGGACCUCAUCCCAUUAUAUGAUCUUCUGGCCAAUUGUCUACGCAAAUUCUUCUGAAUUUUGACAGCUGCUGCCUCCUGUCUCAUCUCCUUAUAUAAUUGGCGAGCGUGUUUUCCUCUCCAUUGAGAUUGUAUAUGAAUAGAAGCCUGCCGCUGAAGAAGGUAAUUUUUACGAGUUGCACGAGUUUUAACAUGCCUCUGUAUAACUGUCACUGAGUUGCGAAGUACUCUUGCUCUAUGUGCAUCUAACUCAGCCAUCUGACCAGUUCUUAGGAAAACCUUUGUUUUCCCCAACUGAUACCCCGUAAGCUCCAUCUUUUCAAAAAUCCAUUUGCAUGCUACCCUCUCUUCAUAGUUCCCCCUCCAAAUCUCUGGCGCAAGCAUUCCAAAUCGGUGUAGGAAUUGAGAGAAGGUCAUAUGAGUAGGGUAUCCAGAACAUUUGAUUCUAAUUGCCUCUAGAACUCCACCAGAACGUAGUUGUUGCAUGACAUUCAUGCUAUCAAAUAUAGCAGGUUCUAAAGUAUUAUUUGGCUUAAUACAUCUAAUGUAGUGGGGCUCUGUAGAAUUUAGUGUAUCCAUCAAUUGCUGCAGCUGUAGCUUAAAUCGGGAGCCAAUAGAUGAGAACUUUGACGGUUUGGCAGUCUCCUCAGAAAAUGGCUGAAAGAGGCCCGAUACAAAACAACAUUUGGAAGCACUCAACAAAUCCUGAUGUUCAGGUACAACACAGUCUUUGUUUUUGUCUAAAAAUUGAUCAGACUGAUAUUGAACCUCUCCUGCAUAGUGAACAAUGGUAAAAUCUGCACGAGUGAGUUUUGGCUUAAUGAACCGCUUAUGAUCUUUGAAAGUCUGAUAAAGCUUCUGUGCAAAUGUCUCAUGAGUUGAUUUUGGAAACAUACAUGCCUCGUCAAGCAGGGCAAUGAUCCCACCUGUUUUCUUCUCAAUGAGGUCCAGAAUAUCUUGAUUAUCAACA
rnacentral:misc_RNA from 1 species